CUGCUACUCUGAAGUAGUGACUAUGUUACUGAGGUCUUACAUGCUGCAAAAGGAUGGAUCAUGUUGCCAAAUCCAGUCUGUUAGCCUGUGGGUUAUUUUUUUUCUGGGGCGGGGGUGGGGGGAAUUGAGUCCAGAAACGUUGAGAGAUACUAAUGACCAAUGAUUCUUAGUUUCUGUUUUUUCACCUUUAGCUAGGUAGGAAAGAACUAGUGAGAAGGGAUGGAGAGAAUAGGGUGAAGGAGAAAGGAAGGGGGAAGGAUUGGAUGGAAGGGGUGGAAGGGGUAGGAGGAAGAGGAUGUUUAUUUGCCAGAAAGUAAAAAAUAAACCAUGCCAAACUCAAAGCAAAGCACACAAAAUUCUCAGGACAUCCAUUCAUAUAUUCUAGUGAGUCGUUCCAUCAGAAGCUGAACUAAUUUCAUAAAUAUUUGACUGCUUGUCAUUAGUAUUCUCUCACCUGUCAUAGCACAUUGAAGAUCAUGGAUCAAUAUGCAUCAGUGACAGGGGCCAUUUCUCCAGCCAUAGCCACAGUUAAGGAAAUAUCACCAAAGACAUAAAGAUUCCAUAAACAAAAUAUUUAUAAACAAACCACAUGGGCA
rnacentral:lncRNA from 1 species